GGUGGUUAUAGCGGUGGGGUCACACCCGAUCUCAUCUCGAACUCGGAAGUUAAGUCCACCUGCGCCGAUGGUACUGCACGUUGCACGUGUGGGAGAGUAGGACACCGCC
rnacentral:rRNA from 1 species